rnacentral:rRNA from 1 species
AGAUUGAACGCUGGCGGCAUGCCUUACACAUGCAAGUCGAACGGCAGCACGGGAGCAAUCCUGGUGGCGAGUGGCGAACGGGUGAGUAAUAUAUCGGAACGUGCCCAGUCGUGGGGGAUAACGCAGCGAAAGCUGUGCUAAUACCGCAUACGAUCUAUGGAUGAAAGCGGGGGAUCGCAAGGACCUCGCGCGAUUGGAGCGGCCGAUAUCAGAUUAGCUAGUUGGUGGGGUAAAAGCCUACCAAGGCGACGAUCUGUAGCUGGUCUGAGAGGACGACCAGCCACACUGGAACUGAGACACGGUCCAGACU